rnacentral:rRNA from 1 species
GAUGAACGCUAGCUACAGGCUUAACACAUGCAAGUCAAGGGGAAACGACAUUGAAGCUUGCUUCGAUGGUCGUCGACCGGCGCACGGGUGAGUAACGCGUAUCCAACCUGCCUCUGACCAAGGGAUAACCCGUCGAAAGUCGGCCUAAUACCUUAUGCAGUCGUCGGAAGUCAUCUGAUGACGACGAAAGAUUUCAUCGGUGAGAGAUGGGGAUGCGUCUGAUUAGCUUGUUGGCGGGGUAACGGCCCACCAAGGCAACGAUCAGUAGGGGUUCUGAGAGGAAGGUCCCCCACAUUGGAACUGAGACACGGUCCAAACUCCUACGGGAGGCAGCAGUGAGGAAUAUUGGUCAAUGGGCGAGAGCCUGAACCAGCCAAGUAGCGUGCAGGAUGACGGCCCUAUGGGUUGUAAACUGCUUUUAUGCGGGGAUAAAGUGAGGGACGUGUCCUUCAUUGCAGGUACCGCAUGAAUAAGGACCGGCUAAUUCCGUG